rnacentral:rRNA from 1 species
GACGUAGGUGGCGAACGUUAUCCGGAAUUAUUGGGCGUAAAGGGUGCGCAGAUGGUCUGACAAGUUAGCAGUGGGAAAUCGAGGCUCAACCUCGUGGAAGCUGGUAAUACUGUCUGACUCGAGUACAGGAGAGGUUAACGGAACUCCAUGUGGAGCGGUAAAAUGUGUAGAUAUAUGGAUGAACACCAAUAACGGCGAAGGCAGUUAACUAUUCUGUUACUGACAUUGAGGCACGAAAGCGUGGGGAGCAAAACGG